GAUGAACGCUGGCGGCGUGCCUAAUACAUGCAAGUCGAGCGAACGGACGAGAAGCUUGCUUCUCUGAUGUUAGCGGCGGACGGGUGAGUAACACGUGGAUAACCUACCUAUAAGACUGGGAUAACUUCGGGAAACCGGAGCUAAUACCGGAUAAUAUUUUGAACCGCAUGGUUCAAAAGUGAAAGACGGUCUUGCUGUCACUUAUAGAUGGAUCCGCGCUGCAUUAGCUAGUUGGUAAGGUAACGGCUUACCAGGGCAACGAUGCAUAGCCGACCUGAGAGGGUGAUCGGCCACACUGGAACUGAGACACGGUCCAGCCUCCUACGGGAGGCAGCAGUAGGGAAUCUUCCGCAAUGGGCGAAAGCCUGACGGAGCAACGCCGCGUGAGUGAUGAAGGUCUUCGGAUCGUAAAACUCUGUUAUUAGGGAAGAACAUAUGUGUAAGUAACUGUGCACAUCUUGACGGUACCGAAUCAGAAAGCCACGGCUAACUACGU
rnacentral:rRNA from 1 species